rnacentral:rRNA from 1 species
GACGAACGCUGGCGGCGUGCCUAAUACAUGCAAGUCGAGCGAAGUUUUUCUGGUGCUUGCACUAGAAAAACUUAGCGGCGAACGGGUGAGUAACACGUAAAGAACCUGCCUCAUAGACUGGGACAACUAUUGGAAACGGUAGCUAAUACCGGAUAACAGUAUUUCUCGCAUGAGAGAUAUUUAAAAGUUGGUUAUGCUAACACUAUGAGAUGGCUUUGCGGUGCAUUAGCUAGUUGGUGGGGUAAAGGCCCACCAAGGCGACGAUGCAUAGCCGACCUGAGAGGGUGAUCGGCCACACUGGGACUGAGACACGGCCCAGACUCCUACGGGAGGCAGCAGUAGGGAAUCUUCCGCAAUGGGCGAAAGCCUGACGGAGCAACGCCGCGUGAGUGAAGAAGGAUUUCGGUUCGUAAAGCUCUGUUGUUAGGGAAGAAUGGAUAUGUAGUAACUAUACAUGUAAGAGACGGUACCUAACCAGAAAGCCACGGCUAACUACGU